rnacentral:tRNA from 1 species
GUUUUAAUAAUUUAAAAAAAAAUUUUGGUCUUGUAAAUCAACUUUAAGGUUUACCUUUUAAAACU